rnacentral:rRNA from 1 species
UACGAAGGGGGCUAGCGUUGCUCGGAAUCACUGGGCGUAAAGCGCACGUAGGCGGCUUUUUAAGUCAGGGGUGAAAUCCUGGAGCUCAACUCCAGAACUGCCUUUGAUACUGGUAAGCUUGAGUCCGGAAGAGGUGAGUGGAACUCCGAGUGUAGAGGUGAAAUUCGUAGAUAUUCGGAAGAACACCAGUGGCGAAGGCGGCUCACUGGUCCGGUACUGACGCUGAGGUGCGAAAGCGUGGGGAGCAAACAGG